UACGUAGGUGGCAAGCGUUGUCCGGAUUUAUUGGGCUUAAAGCGCCCGCAGGCGGCUUGAUAAGUUUCAGGUGAAAUCUCCCGGCUCAACCGGGAGGGUGCCUGGAAAACUAUCAGGCUUGAGUCAUGGAGAGGGAUGUGGAAUUCCCGGUGUAGUGGUGAAAUGCGUAGAUAUCGGGAGGAACACCAGUGGCGAAGGCGGCAUCCUGGCCAUGUACUGACGCUCAGGGGCGAAAGCGUGGGGAGCAAACCGGG
rnacentral:rRNA from 1 species